GAGUUUGAUUAUGGCUCAGGAUGAACGCUGGCGGCGUGCCUAAUACAUGCAAGUCGAGCGAGAAUCUGAACGACGGAGACUUCGGUCAAAGGAAUUCAGAGGAAAGCGGCGGACGGGUGAGUAACGCGUGGGCAACCUGCCCCAUACAGAGGGAUAGCAGUUGGAAACGACUAUUAAUACCUCAUACUCCGGUUUUAUCGCAUGAUAGAACCGGGAAAGAUUUAUCGGUAUGGGAUGGGCCCGCGUCUGAUUAGCUAGUUGGUGAGGUAACGGCUCACCAAGGCGACGAUCAGUAGCCAACCUUAGAGGGUGAUUGGCCACACUGGAACUGAGACACGGUCCAGACUCCUACGGGAGGCAGCAGUAGGGAAUAUUGGGCAAUGGGGGCGACCCUGACCCAGCAACGCCGCGUGAACGAUGAAAAUCUUCGGAUUGUAAAGUUCUUUUUUUGAGGAAGAAGAAAAG
rnacentral:rRNA from 1 species